rnacentral:rRNA from 1 species
UACGUAGGGGGCUAGCGUUAUCCGGAUUUACUGGGUUUAAAGGGUGCGUAGGUGGGUCUGUAAGUCAGUGGUGAAAUCUCCGAGCUUAACUCGGAAACUGCCAUUGAUACUAUAGAUCUUGAAUUAUCUGGAGGUAAGCGGAAUAUGUCAUGUAGCGGUGAAAAUGCUUAGAUAUGACAUAGAACACCAAUUGCGAAAGGCAGCUUACUACGGAUCGAUUGACACUGAGGCACGAAAAGCGUGGGGGAUCAAAACAGG